rnacentral:rRNA from 1 species
GGGAGCUUGCUCCCCGCUGACGAGCGGCGGACGGGUGAGUAAUGCAUAGGAAACUGCCCAGUAGUGGGGGAUAGCCCGGGGAAACCCGGAUUAAUACCGCAUACGUCCUUCGGGAGAAAGCAGGGGCUCUUCGGACCUUGCGCUAUUGGAUGUGCCUAUGUCGGAUUAGCUAGUUGGUGGGGUAAAGGCCUACCAAGGCGACGAUCCGUAGCUGGUCUGAGAGGAUGAUCAGCCACAUCGGGACUGAGACACGGCCCGAACUCCUACGGGAGGCAGCAGUGGGGAAUAUUGGACAAUGGGGGCAACCCUGAUCCAGCCAUGCCGCGUGUGUGAAGAAGGCUUUCGGGUUGUAAAGCACUUUCAGUGAGGAGGAAAAGUGGGUCCCUAAUACGGGCUCGCCUUGACGUUACUCACAGAAGAAGCACCGGCUAACUCCGUGCCAGCAGCCGCGGUAAUACGGAGGGUGCAAGCGUUAAUCGGAAUUACUGGGCGUAAAGCGCGCGUAGGUGGUUUGAUAAGCGAGAUGUGAAAGCCCCGGGCUUAACCUGGGAACGGCAUUUCGAACUGUCAGGCUAGAGUGUGGUAGAGGGUAGUGGAAUUUCCUGUGUAGCGGUGAAAUGC